GCUUAGUGAUCCGGUGGUCCCUCGUGGGAGGGCCAUCGCUCAUCGGACAAAAGGUACUCCGGGGAUAACAGGCUUAUCGCGUCCAAGAGUUCACAUCGACGACGCGGUUUGGCACCUCGAUGUCGGCUCAUCGCAUCCUGGGGCUGAAGUAGGUCCCAAGGGUUUGGCUGUUCGCCAAUUAAAGCGGUACGAGAGCUGGGUUCAAAACGUCGUGAGACAGUUUGGUCCCUAUCUGUUGUGGGCGCAGGAGAUUUGAGAGGAUCUGUCCCUAGUACGAGAGGACCGGGAUGGACGAACCUCUAGUGUGCCAGUUGUCCCGCCAGGGGCAGUGCUGGGUAGCUAUGUUCGGUCGGGAUAACCGCUGAAAGCAUCUAAGCGGGAAACCCACCUCAAGACUAGAUCUCCCGGGAGCAAUCCCCUAAAGACCCCCGGUAGACCACCGGGUUGAUAGGCUGGGCGUGUAAGGGUGGUAACAUCCUAAGCUAACCAGUACUAAUAGGUCGUGAGGCUUAACCAC
rnacentral:ncRNA from 1 species